GAUGAACGCUGGCGGCGUGCCUAAUACAUGCAAGUCGUGCGAACAGACGAGGAGCUUGCUCCUCUGACGUUAGCGGCGGACGGGUGAGUAACACGUGGAUAACCUACCUAUAAGACUGGGAUAACUUCGGGAAACCGGAGCUAAUACCGGAUAAUAUAUUGAACCGCAUGGUUCAAUAGUGAAAGACGGUUUUGCUGUCACUUAUAGAUGGAUCCGCGCCGCAUUAGCUAGUUGGUAAGGUAACGGCUUACCAAGGCAACGAUGCGUAGCCGACCUGAGAGGGUGAUCGGCCACACUGGAACUGAGACACGGUCCAGACUCCUACGGGAGGCAGCAGUAGGGAAUCUUCCGCAAUGGGCGAAAGCUUGACGGAGCAACGCCGCGUGAGUGAUGAAGGUCUUCGGAUCGUAAAACUCUGUUAUUAGGGAAGAACAAAUGUGUAAGUAACUAUGCACGUCUUGACGGUACCUAAUCAGAAAGCCACGGCUAACUACGU
rnacentral:rRNA from 1 species